rnacentral:rRNA from 1 species
GCCGGAGGGUGCUAUCGUUGUUCGGAAUCACUGGGCGUAAAGCGCGUGUAGGCGGUUCGAUAAGUCGAAUGUGAAAGCCCGAGGCUCAACCUCGGAAGUGCAUUCGAAACUGUCGGGCUUGAGUACGGGAGAGGGAAGUGGAAUUCCUGGUGUAGAGGUGAAAUUCGUAGAUAUCAGGAGGAACACCGGUGGCGAAGGCGGCUUCCUGGACCGAUACUGACGCUGAGACGCGAAAGCGUGGGGAGAAAACAGG